GGGUUAUUUAAAGAAGGGGGGGCUGAGCGAAGGGGUUGGAAGCGGAGUGAUUCCCCACCCCUGCUCCAUCUAGCUCUUUCCAGUGCAGCCACUGCCGCCGCCCAGGAGCCCUCGUCCCCUUCCUCGUCCCCCUUCUCGUUCCCGCUCCAACGCCAUGGAGCCGGACUCCGCUGCAGUGGCAGCCGCCGUGGCAGCCGCUAAUGCGACCGCCACAAUCGUGGUCAUAGAGGACGAGCAGCCGGGGCCAUCCACCUCUAAGGAGGAGGGAGCGGCCGCCGCAGCCACCGAAGCCACCGUGGCCACGGAGAAGAGCGAGAAGAAGAAGGAGAAAAAUGUUUCUUUGUUUCAACUCAAACUUGCUGCUAAAGCUUCUAAAUCUGAAAAGGAAAUGGACCCAGAAUAUGAAGAGAAAAUGAAAGCAGACCGAGCAAAGAGAUUUGAAUUUUUAUUAAAGCAGACAGAACUUUUUGCACAUUUCAUUCAACCUUCAGCACAGAAAUCUCCAACAUCUCCUCUGAACAUGAAAUUGGGACGUCCUCGAAUAAAGAAAGAUGACAAGCAGACCUUAAUUUCUGCUGGAGACUACCGCCACAGGCGCACAGAACAAGAAGAAGAUGAAGAGCUACUCUCAGAGAGUCGGAAAACAUCUAAUGUGUGUGUUAGAUUUGAGGUGUCACCUUCAUAUGUGAAAGGAGGACCACUGAGAGAUUAUCAGAUUCGGGGGCUGAACUGGUUGAUCUCUUUGUAUGAAAAUGGAGUCAAUGGUAUCUUGGCAGAUGAAAUGGGUCUUGGUAAGACUUUACAAACGAUUGCUUUGCUUGGUUACCUGAAACAUUACCGAAACAUUCCUGGACCUCACAUGGUUUUAGUUCCAAAGUCUACUUUAUACAACUGGAUGAAUGAAUUUAAACGAUGGGUCCCAUCUCUACGUGUUAUUUGUUUCGUCGGAGACAAGGAUGCGAGAGCUGCUUUUAUUCGUGAUGAAAUGAUGCCAGGAGAAUGGGACGUUUGUGUUACUUCUUAUGAGAUGGUAAUUAAAGAAAAAUCCGUAUUUAAAAAGUUUCAUUGGCGAUACCUAGUCAUUGAUGAGGCUCAUAGAAUAAAGAAUGAAAAAUCUAAGCUUUCUGAGAUUGUUCGUGAGUUCAAGUCAACCAAUCGCUUGCUCCUAACUGGAACACCUUUGCAGAAUAACCUGCAUGAACUCUGGGCAUUACUCAACUUUUUGUUGCCUGAUGUCUUUAAUUCUGCAGAUGACUUUGACUCUUGGUUUGACACUAAAAAUUGUCUUGGUGAUCAAAAACUUGUGGAAAGACUUCACGCAGUUUUAAAACCAUUUUUGUUACGUCGUAUAAAAACUGAUGUAGAGAAGAGCCUGCCUCCUAAAAAGGAAAUAAAGAUUUACUUGGGACUGAGUAAAAUGCAACGAGAAUGGUAUACAAAAAUCCUGAUGAAAGAUAUUGAUGUGUUAAAUUCUGCUGGCAAGAUGGACAAGAUGCGACUCUUAAACAUUCUGAUGCAGCUUCGAAAGUGUUGUAAUCAUCCUUACUUGUUUGAUGGUGCUGAACCUGGUCCACCUUAUACCACUGAUGAGCACAUUGUCAGCAACAGUGGUAAAAUGGUAGUUCUUGAUAAACUGUUGGCCAAACUCAAAGAACAGGGUUCAAGGGUUCUCAUUUUUAGCCAGAUGACUCGCUUGCUGGACAUUUUGGAGGAUUAUUGUAUGUGGCGUGGUUAUGAGUAUUGUCGACUGGAUGGACAAACCCCACAUGAAGAAAGAGAGGAUAAAUUCCUAGAAGUGGAAUUACUGGGUCAAAGGGAAGCAAUAGAGGCCUUUAAUGUUCCUAAUAGUAGCAAAUUCAUCUUUAUGCUGAGUACCAGAGCUGGAGGUCUUGGAAUUAACUUGGCAAGUGCUGAUGUGGUUAUACUAUAUGAUUCAGACUGGAAUCCGCAGGUUGAUCUACAAGCUAUGGAUCGAGCACAUCGUAUUGGUCAGAAGAAGCCAGUACGUGUGUUCCGUCUCAUCACUGAUAAUACUGUUGAAGAAAGGAUUGUAGAAAGAGCAGAGAUAAAACUGAGACUUGACUCAAUUGUUAUACAACAAGGAAGACUCAUUGACCAACAGUCUAACAAGCUGGCAAAAGAGGAAAUGUUGCAAAUGAUACGUCAUGGAGCCACCCAUGUUUUUGCUUCUAAAGAAAGUGAGCUGACAGAUGAAGACAUUACAACUCUUCUGGAAAGAGGGGAAAAGAAGACUGCAGAGAUGAAUGAACGCUUGCAGAAAAUGGGAGAGUCUUCUCUGAGAAAUUUUAGAAUGGACACUGAACAAAGUUUGUACAAGUUUGAAGGAGAAGAUUAUAGAGAAAAACAGAAGCUUGGGAUGGUGGAAUGGAUUGAACCUCCUAAACGAGAACGCAAAGCAAACUAUGCAGUGGAUGCCUACUUUAGAGAGGCUUUACGUGUCAGCGAGCCAAAGGUUCCAAAGGCUCCAAGACCUCCAAAGCAGCCAAAUGUUCAGGAUUUUCAGUUUUUCCCACCACGUUUAUUUGAGCUCCUGGAAAAGGAAAUUCUUUAUUAUAGGAAGACAAUAGGCUAUAAGGUCCCAAGGAAUCCUGAUAUUCCAAAUCCAGCUGUGGCUCAAAGAGAGGAGCAAAAAAAGAUUGAUGGAGCUGAACCUCUUACACCAGAAGAGACUGAAGAAAAAGAAAAACUUCUUACACAAGGAUUCACAAACUGGACUAAGCGAGAUUUUAACCAGUUUAUUAAAGCUAAUGAGAAGUAUGGAAGAGAUGACAUUGAUAAUAUAGCUCGAGAGGUGGAGGGCAAAUCCCCUGAGGAGGUCAUGGAAUAUUCAGCUGUAUUUUGGGAACGUUGCAAUGAAUUACAGGACAUUGAGAAAAUUAUGGCUCAGAUUGAACGUGGAGAAGCAAGAAUUCAACGAAGGAUCAGUAUCAAGAAAGCCCUGGAUGCCAAGAUUGCAAGAUACAAGGCUCCAUUUCAUCAAUUGCGUAUUCAGUAUGGAACCAGCAAAGGAAAGAACUAUACUGAAGAAGAAGACAGAUUCUUGAUUUGUAUGUUACACAAAAUGGGCUUUGAUAGAGAAAACGUAUAUGAAGAAUUAAGACAGUGUGUGCGGAAUGCUCCUCAGUUUAGAUUUGACUGGUUUAUCAAGUCUAGAACUGCCAUGGAAUUCCAGAGACGCUGUAAUACUCUAAUUUCAUUGAUUGAGAAAGAAAAUAUGGAAAUUGAGGAAAGAGAGAGAGCAGAAAAGAAGAAACGGGCAACUAAAACUCCAAUGCAAUUUCUACUGAUGAAGUCCCAACUCCAGCCAUGGCCAUUAUUAACUAGAUGAUUCUUUGAAUCUGGCUAAUGUGGAAUCUUGCAAGGACAAAGAGGAUUUGCUCACUAACCAGUAAGAGGCUCUGCUGUUUUUGGGGGUGCUGCCCCUACUCUGCUGAACUCAAGUGUCUCUUCCUGACCCUGUGGCUCUUCUUCUGGGUACUGACAAGAGAACACAGGACUAUUCAUGGUGCCAGAGCAUCUGGAUAAUUUGUCUUAAGACAUUGGCACUCCUGAUUCUCAGACCUUCAAAUUUAGUCUGAGACAUACAUCACUGGCACUCUGGUUCUCAAGUCUUCAGGCUUGGACUGGAACUACACCACCAGCAUUCCUGGGGCCUCCAGCUUACAGUUGGCAGAUCAUACAAGUUCUCAACCUCCAUAAUCAAGUAAGUCAAUCCCUCAUAAUAUGCUUCUUCCUGUAUAUCUUAUAUAUUUCCUAUUGGUUCUGUUUCUCUGGAGAACCCUGACUAAUCAAACCAGUUAUGAAGCUAUGAUAUUAAUCUAGCCUAGAGAUGAUGUUGGCUUGGACCAUCUUGGUAGCAGUGGAUGAGAUGAGAAGUUAUCAAAUUUUGGAUUUAUUUUGAAGGUAGAACCAAACAAGAUUUGUUAAAGGCUUGACUAUAGGGUAUAAGAGAAAGAGAGGAGUCAAGGUUUUUUGGCUUGAGUAACUGGAAUAAUGGAGUUGUCAAAGUCAUACAGGAGGUUGGUAGAAGAGCAAGGUCUUGAAGCCAGGCCCUCUAACUCCCUCUAACUCCCCUCUAAAUCCCAAUUUGAUUGUGCUCUCCUGGGGAAUGCUAAUAUGACUCUUUCAGACAGUGAAAACUGGCCCAGUGCAUGUGCAGCUGCAGCAAUAUGCAAAUGAUAAAUAAUAAGUCUCAGAGCUAAAUCUUUUACAGAGUAUCUCUAUUACCAGGUUUAUUUCCAGGUUUAUCUCUCUGAGUGCAGGAAAGGGAAAAUUUCCUUACUAUUUAGCUCAAGCUCAUUAAAAAGUCUCUCCUUGACCAGCUUUGAUAAGGAGAAGAAAACAAACAUAAUGGCCCUGCUUGAAUAUCAUAAGAUAAU